rnacentral:rRNA from 1 species
UCCGGGGGGGGCAAGCGUUGUUCGGAAUUACUGGGCGUAAAGGGUUAGUAGGUGGCCAACUAAGUCAGACGUGAAAUCCCUCAGCUUAACUGGGGAACUGCGUCUGAGACUGAUUGGCUCGAGGACAGGAGAGGAACGCGGAAUUCCAGGUGUAGCGGUGAAAUGCGUAGAUAUCUGGAGGAACACCGGUGGCGAAGGCGGCGUUCUGGACUGUUUCUGACACUGAAUAACGAAAGCCAGGGGAGCAAACGGG